AUUGAACGCUGGCGGCAUGCUUUACACAUGCAAGUCGAACGGCAGCGCGGGCUUCGGCCUGGCGGCGAGUGGCGAACGGGUGAGUAAUACAUCGGAACGUGCCCAGUAGUGGGGGAUAGCUCGGCGAAAGCCGGAUUAAUACCGCAUACGACCUGAGGGUGAAAGCGGGGGAUCUUCGGACCUCGCGCUAUUGGAGCGGCCGAUGGCAGAUUAGCUAGUUGGUGGUGUAAAGGCCUACCAAGGCGACGAUCUGUAGCUGGUCUGAGAGGACGACCAGCCACACUGGGACUGAGACACGGCCCAGACUCCUACGGGAGGCAGCAGUGGGGAAUUUUGGACAGUGGGCGAAAGCCUGAUCCAGCAAUGCCGCGUGUGUGAUGAAGGCCUUCGGGUUGUAAAGCACUUUUGGCGGGAACGAAAAGGACUGUGCCAAUACCACGGUUCGAUGACGGUACCCGCAGAAUAAGCACCGGCUAACUACGU
rnacentral:rRNA from 1 species